ACCAGGGCUCAGCUCCAGCACGCCUGACACCAUUCACCCAGGAACCCAGGCUUACACGCCCCUCCCCUUCUGAGCUUGAUAUGGAGGGAAGAUGGCAGCAGCUGACGUGAUCUGCUGGCUGGCGCCGCAGCCCGCGUGUCUGUCUAGUAAUUGCUCAUGCCCACAGAAGCCACCUUGCACAAAGCUCCUGGAUUGACAUUCCUGCAAAGCUGUGCCUGAAAAUCACAGGAGGGAGGUGGGGCAUCUGGCUUAUGAGCUUGCUUUGAGCCAAGAGGGAGUUUUUGGGUUGAAAAUGGCUUGUCUAGGGCCCUGUUCUCUGGCAUUAGUUGCCGACUCUGAAAGAGGGGCUUUCAGCCAAAAGGAAAGUGUGCCAGAGGGAACCAACCCAGCGUACAGAGAGGUGUAGGUUUCCUUUUCCACAGGGUGUUCAAUAGUCUGCAUCAGCUAGAGAAGGAGCCGUGUGCCAAGAACCCCGAUUCUGGAAUGAAACUGGCUGGAGCAAAACACAACUGACUGGUCAUGUGACUCAACCUCCUCAUCUGCAAAGUGCAGAAGCUACAGUUUUCGGCGGACACAACAUCUUUGUUUCUACGUGGUGCUGAGGAUUGAACCCGGGCAGCACGCAUGCCAGGAAAUCAGAAUGGCUGCUGAUUCUAAAAGAGAAGCUACAGCAAUUUGGAAUCUCUUUGCACUACCAGCCAGUUUGCUGGAGGGAUUCCAGCUGGACCAUCACUUGGAGGAGAUGUGAACAAUUGGGCUUCCAGCACCUCCUUCUCCCUUUGUGGCUUUCCUCAGUUCAAUUCAACAAAUAUUUAUUGAACUCACAGUAGGAUGGAAGAAAUGGUAAAUGAGUGAAUCCACAGAAUGACUUUGUGUUAAGAUUCACAGGGAGGCUGUGAGAUGCUGCAAGAUUUUGAACCAUGACAGGUUUACAAGAGGGUCAGUCUGUCUACUGAGACAAGAACUGAACUAAAACAUCUUAAGAAUGGAUCUCCAUUACAGUGAUGGAAGCAGAUAAGUUUUCCUGAUUAACCCUCAGAGAAUUCAAUUAACUUCUAUUACCAGAACAUUCCAGUCUGCUUUGCCGGUUUGUACACAGGAGGGGCUUAAGGGCCAGCCAUCUCUUGGGAAGGGAGGCUGGAAUUUUGUCUUGAAGUCGUGUUGACCCGGCAGGCAUGCUGAUUCUGUUCAGAUUAUCUGGCCAUUUGGGAUGGUUAGAGGUGGCUAUUGGAAAUUAGGGGAAAUUAAAUCUUUGCAUUCUGUUUAUCAGACUUACAGAUAUCUUGGGCUUGGAAAUACACUAGUAUUUCAAAAGAAAAAUUCAAAGGGAGGAAGCUGCAGUGGUCUGCUCUUAUAACUUGUUUGUCAAUUUCUUUUCCAAUUUCCCCAUUCUCUUCUCUCAGAGGGAGACAGAGGUGAGAACCCGACUAUCAGGGCUAAUACCCAGAAAGGCUAUGAAAUACAGGGUGGGUACUUUUUUUUCUUUCCUUCUUCUUCUCUCCCCACUUUGUUGUUGUUGUUGUUGAAAAUAAGAACAAUGGACUGUGAAAUUAAAAAAUCUAUAAACUGGCAAUAUGGAAACAAUAUGCAUUUACCUAUUUCAAGGGACACUAUGGCAUCAAAAUCAGAGGAAUGGGCUGUGCAAAUACAAAUGAUGUAAUUUAAUCAUUUCCAAAUGGUCUUUCUUGUUUUAUUUCCACCCAUCCACUCCUUGCACAUUUAUUUAUUUAUUUUUUCUUUCCUAAUAUUUUUAUUUAUUUACUUAUUUAUUUGUAUUAGUUGCUCAUGACAAUACAAUGAUCUUGACAUCAUACAUUUGAUUCAAAUGGGGUAUGGAUUCUCAUUUUUCCACGUGU